AGAACGAACGCUGGCGGCAUGCCUAAUACAUGCAAGUCGAACGAACACUUCGGUGUUAGUGGCGCACGGGUGCGUAACGCGUGGGAAUCUGCCCUUGGGUUCGGAAUAACAGUUGGAAACGACUGCUAAUACCGGAUGAUAUCGAAAGAUCAAAGAUUUAUCGCCCAGGGAUGAGCCCGCGUAGGAUUAGCUAGUUGGUGAGGUAAAGGCUCACCAAGGCGACGAUCCUUAGCUGGUCUGAGA
rnacentral:rRNA from 1 species